ACAAUGCUGGGCCCUCAGCCAGACCUGCCCUGCGUGCCACGUUCUGUUCUAAGAUCGGGCUGCCGAGCUGUGGCCUGGAGGAAACCUGGCAGGUGUCACCAGAGCUUUGGGGAGGGUGAGGCCCUGUCGGGGAAGCCCAGUGGGAGUCAUGAAGGAGGGAACACGUGUGGAGCCCUUGUAGGGGGAGGGGCAGCCCUGCAGAGAUCUAAGAAAAAAUUCCAGAAAAAUGAGCAGCAACCUCCAAGGCCAGGCAUCGGUGCAGGGGACAAGGGGUCGUAGCUGGAGGGGCCUAGGUGAGGCUGCCGGGAAGGGACGAUGUGGUUGGUGGAGUGCACAGGCAGGGACCUCACUGGACUUUCCUGUCUGCUCAGCAUGGACAGGCAGCCCAGGAGAAGGCAGCACGUGGCCGGGUGCAGGGACGUACCACCCCCACUUCCCCAGGGGAGCUGGGGUCAGACGAGUCCCAGGCACUCCAUCCUCUGCAGCAAGUCAGGUUGUGAUUUACUAGGGGGUGGUGAAUAUAAUGGAGAGACUUCUGGGGAGGAAUUCCUGGCUCCCGCGUGGACUUGCAGAGCUCAACAGGCAGCCACGUGGCUGAGUGUCCAGCAAACAUCACAUAAGGCUUUGGGUCCUGCAGGUGGGGCUGCCAUGAGCAGCAAGCUCAGUCCAGAAGAACAGUUCCUCUCCAGGAUCCACUUCCUGCGCACUUUUAUGUGCAGUGUAGCUGGAGCAGAGCUCCCCGGAAUUCCACAGGCAACUGAGAACGGAGAGGGAUGCAGGCCAGCCAGGGAUCCAGCGUCUUCCCCAUCGUCACUCUCCAUGGCCUCCGUCUACACACAGUGUUCGUCUGCACAGCUUGUCAGCGCGUUAUCAUGACUUCUAUUUGGCACCGGCCCGUCUGUCCACUGUCCUGGCUUGUUCCAAGCGCUGCCUUCUCCAACUGGGGUCCUGGCUGCAGAGCUGUCUGCUCCCCACGUUGGGCAACUCCAGCCAAGAUUCCUACACCCAAAUGUGACCGUGUUGCUCACGAAGAAGGCUCAGCUUUGCGUGUGCCCAGCCGUGUGCACAGCUCGUCCCAACUCCUGCGGGUGGCACCUGCCUCUCCCACCUCCAGUCUUUCCCCUGUGAUGAGCAGAUGACCACCGCCCUCCAGGGUCAGCGUUUGGCUGUUUGUGUGCCUGCCCACCCGCCUCCCUGUGCCUGGGCCUGCCCUGUGCCUGCACACAGGAGUGGCUCAUGGCGUUUGCCCUACACGGAUGGGCUGUCCUGGGAGCUACUGGACAGUCACCUUGGUGGGAAUGCCAGAGGCAUGGGCAUUAGGUCCCCCCGGCCAGCCUCCGUUGCCACAUGGGCUAUUUUUGUCCAUCGCGUGGGACAACCUAGUAUUGGGGGAAAACUCAGUCCACUCUAAAGAAGCAUCGGCGUUUUGGAUGGACGAAUGCUGCUUCAUGCGACUCCAUGUCAAUGGACUAUUUUAUUCAACUCGGGUAUUUAUGAGUGUCUCCUCUGUGCCAGCCACGUGUGAAAGAAGAACUCCAAGUUACUGGACACCAGGACAAACCAGGUAGAUCACUGCAUCCGGUUCCUCCUCUUUCUGCCGACUCUCCCGGGCAACCGUUCUGAUUCCUGGCAUGGAGUUGGGGGCGAGCUCAUCAGUACCCAGAGCGCCUGGUGUGCAGCCAAAGGCCCCCAUUUUAUUAGUCGGUGUGUUCAGUAUCACGCUCAAGACAAGGGCCAACCUAUUACUUCACACACCUCAAAUACAAAAAGUGCCUGGGAACGUCGAUGAGGUAUUAAAGGAAACCACUGGUCUUGUCAGUCAUGUACACACAGAAAAAAAAACCAGUCAUUUUUAUUUUUAUUUUUUGAGACAGAGUUUCGCUCUUGUUGCCCAGGCUGGAGUGCAAUGGUGCAAUUUCAGCUCACUGCAAUCUCUGCCACCCGGAUUCAAGCAAUUCUCCUGUCUCAGCCUCCCGAGUAGCUGGAAUUGCAGACACCCAUCACCACGCCCAGCUAAUUUUAUGUAUUUUUAGUAGAGAUGGGGUUUCACCAUGUUGGUCAGGCUGGUCUUGAACUCCUGACCUCAGGUGAUCCACCCACGUCAGGCUCCCAAAGUGCUGAGAUUACAGGCAUGAACCACUGUGCCCAGCCGAAAACAACCAAGAAUUUUUUAACAAUAAAAUGACCAGCAAGUAAACUUGAAACAAAAAUGGACAAAUAUCUAAAAUAUUUUUAAAUGUAUGUAUUUUAAUUGGCAAAUAAUACUUGUAUAUAUUGUUUACAACUUGUUUUAAAGUAUGAAUACAUUGUGGAAUGGCUAAAUCAAGUUAAUUAACAUGCAUUAACUCACAUACUUUUUGUUUUUUGGUGUGGUGAGGACACUUAACAUCUACUCUCUUAGCAAUUUUCCAGUCACCAUGUCCUACUAUAGAUCCCUAGAACAUAUUCCUCCAAUGUAACUGAAAUGUAUCCCUUGACCAACAUCACUGCCCGGCCCCAGCCCCAGGUAAACACCAUUCUACCCUCUGCUUCUGUGAGUUCAGCUUUUCUAGAUUUCACCUGUGAGUGAGAUUGUGCAGCAUUUGUCUUUCUGUGCCUGGGUUUUUUCACAUAAUGCCCUUCUGGUUCAUCUAUAUUGUCAUAUAUGGUAGCAUUGUCUUCCUUUGUAAGGCUGACUGGUAUACCAUUGCGUAUAUACACCACAUUGUUUACCUAAAAUAUUUUUUAAUACAAUCGCUGAAAACUGCCACAUAACUUGUAUAACUGCUGUAAGGCUUGGUUUUCAGCCAUAAGAUGGGAAGAGAAGUAACAUCUACCUUGCAGGAUGACUGCAAGCUGUAAAAUGCCACAAAGCGCAGGGGAGCCCAGAACCGCCGCAGCAGGACAGGUCCUCUGGAAGCAGACAGACCUGCCUUGUUACUUUAGCCAUCCAGAGUCCAGUUUAGCCAGUGAUGAAAUGAGUACAAAAGAACACCUUUCUUGUAGGAUUGCAAAAUGAUGUCUUCAUCCAUUCUGUGCUGCUAUAGCAGACUCCUGCACACUGGGUAACUGACAGCUUACAGAAGCUUGUUGGCUUAUGGUUCUGGAGGCUGGGAAGUCCAACCUCAAGGGGCUGCAUCUGGUGAGGGCUUUCUUGUUGCAUCAUCACAUCGCAGAAUAGCAGAAGGGCAAGGAGAGAGAGAGAAAAGAGUGCUGAACCCACCCUUUGAUAAGAAGCCCACUCCCAUGAUAAUAGCACCAGCCCAUUCAGGAGGGCAAAGCCCUCGUGGCUGCAUCGCCUCUCAAAGGUUCCACCUCUCAAGAUCAUCACAAUGACAAUCAAACUUCAUGAAUUUUGGAGGGGACAAUUAUUCAAACCAGAACAGAGGGGGAUGGCAAAUGUUCUGAAAACAAGCCUAGAAAUUGAUCUUAGAAAUGGUGCAAAAGUAGAUUUCCCCUUCUGUCUUUACCUGUGAUGGUCUAACCCCAAAAGCCUCCCAGAACAGAACUUGUGAGCACAAGAUAGAAACAACAAACUUGAUGCAGAGCUGAGCUCACAAGGAGGUCAGGGAUGUGACAGGAACCAGAGACAAACAGAAGGCUGAAAACCAGGUCUUAAAGUGUGAGAGCCAAAGGGCAGCAGCCCAGGAGAGUGUUCGUCUGGAGCCCCGGGGUUUAAGUCUCCACACUCACAUGGGAAAGGAGACGAGGCCUCCCUGGAUCCACGUGAAUCAGGAACUGGAACAAGGGCACUCAAAGGGCUACGCCAUCAGGAGAGAUGUGAAUGAGUGUGCCCACAGGAACAGGAAGACAACAGGAUGGUUCUGUGUUUGCCUGCCUGUUGUGGUUCUGUGAGACAGAAACAGUUUUGAUGACAAUUGAUAAUCAGGACUCAGAGCCUUGUUAGACUUCAGGUAUUGAAUUUUUUUUUGAGACAGGGUCUAGCUGUGUUGCCCAGGCUGGUCUUGAACUCCUGGGCCCAAGUGAUCCUCCUACCUUGGCCUCCCAAAGUGCUGGGAUUACAGGCAUGAGCUACCGUGCCCAGCCUAGGUAUCGAAUUUUCACAGGUUUCACAGUCCAGGCCCUACCACCCCUGCAGCAAAUAACUUGAUAUAAAACCUGGGCCCAGGCUAGUAAUACCCUUGAAGCCCAUGACAGAAGCAGGCACAGUGAUAGAAGCAAAAUCACGUAGACAUUAUCAAUCUAGCCCCCUCCAAUUCCUACCCAUAAAGCCCACUGAAGAUGAAUUUACAAUCAUAAAGUACAAAACAUGCCAAGAAAGAACCACAUGAGGGAAGUCAGCAGAUGUGUGAACAGCAGGAACGGACUCCGCCACCAAAGGCCUUCAAAAGGUGAAUCAAGCAAAAAAGAGAACAUUAAUUAAACAUGUUUAACAUGGGUAAGAAUUACAGGAAUAAAAGAAGUAAAUGAACAAGAAUACGAUUGCAAGGGAGUGGUAGAAGAAUAGGCAGUUUUGAAGAACUAAAUGGAAUAUCUAGAAUGAAAAACCAUGCUUGCUAAAAUUAACUCAAUGAGUGAGUUUAAAAAGCAAUUUAGACCCAGCUGAGAGCUGAAUUUGUGGUAUAUGCAGAAAUUACUUCUGAUGCGAGGCAGAGCAUGAUGACAGAAUGAGGAGAUCCCAAACAUCUAUGAGAGUUCCAUUCUGAAUGAUUAGAAGAAUGAGGAAGCAACAGUAUUUAAAAAGAUAAUCACUAAGAAAGUUCUAUACUUGAUGAAAAAUGUGAAUCCUAAGAUUCAGGAACAGUGUGAGACUUCAGCUGGGGAAAAAAGAUGAAACUACACUUCUACAUUUAGGAGUAAAACUACAGAAUACAAAAGACAAAAAAAUUUUAAAGUGAAAAAUAAAACCACUCAGAUUACAUCAAAAGCAGUUAUCAUGAAAGCAGCCUAUCAAUUACAAUGAUAAAAGCCAAGCAAUAGUCAAAUAUCGAUUUUUUUCAAAGUCACAAGAUAAAAUAAGUAGUAACAUAGGAUUCUGUACAUAGCAUUAUUUGUUACCUAUUGGGGCAUAACAAAAUUCCCCAAAACUUUGCAGCUUAAAAAACAUUCAGUAUUUCACCAUUGCCAUGAGUCAGGAAUCCAGGCGUGGCUUGAGUCCUCUGCAUAUUGGCUUCUCACCAGACUGCAAUCAGGACAAUAGCACAGUAUCUGUGGUCUCAUCUGAAGGCUUGCCUGAGGAAGUCUGCAUCCAAGCUUACUCUUCGUUGGCUGUUGGGCAGAGGCACCCUCAGCUCCCAGCCAUGUAGGCUUUCCCAUGGUGCAGCUUCUAUCAACAAAGCACGCCAGACAAGAGGACAACACACAGUCUUCUAGGAAGAAGAAAGCCACAAUCUUUUUUUAAAAAGCAAAGCAAUAUUUAUGUAAUUGCCACUUGGUUUGAGAAGUAGAACACUGUGUCAAAAACCCCUCCAAAGCCCCCGCCAGUAACUGCCCUCCUCCUUCUCCCCAGUGCAACCACUGCCCUCACUUCUGUCUUUUUUUCAACUUUUAAAAAUUGUGGUAAAAUGCAUAUAACUUAAAAUUACAACCUUAAUCAUUUUAAGUGUACAGUUUGGUGGUGGUAAAUACACUCGUGAUGUGCAACCAUCACCACCAUGCAUCUGUAUAGAACUCUUUCCAUCUUGUAAAACUGAAACUCUGUCUCCAUUAAAC
rnacentral:lncRNA from 1 species